UACGUAGGGCGCAAGCGUUGUCCGGAAUUAUUGGGCGUAAAGAGCUCGUAGGCGGUUUGUCGCGUCUGCUGUGAAAACCUAAGGCUCAACCUUGGGCUUGCAGUGGGUACGGGCAGACUAGAGUGCGGUAGGGGUGACUGGAAUUCCUGGUGUAGCGGUGGAAUGCGCAGAUAUCAGGAGGAACACCGAUGGCGAAGGCAGGUCACUGGGCCGCAACUGACGCUGGAGGAAGCGGAAAGCAUGGGAGCAAACAGG
rnacentral:rRNA from 1 species